UACGAAGGGGGCUAGCGUUGCUCGGAAUCACUGGGCGUAAAGCGCACGUAGGCGGAUUGUUAAGUCAGGGGUGAAAUCCUGGAGCUCAACUCCAGAACUGCCUUUGAUACUGGCGAUCUCGAGUCCGGGAGAGGUGAGUGGAACUGCGAGUGUAGAGGUGAAAUUCGUAGAUAUUCGCAAGAACACCAGUGGCGAAGGCGGCUCGCUGGGACGGUACUGACACUGAGACGCGAAAGCGUGGGGAGCAAACAGG
rnacentral:rRNA from 1 species